AAGUCGUAACAAGGUCUCCGUAGGUGAACCUGCGGAGGGAUCAUUACCGAGUUAGGGUCUUCCACGGCCCGACCUCCCAACCCUGUGUCUAAUCAUACCAAUUGUUGCUUCGGCGGGACGGUCUACCCAGACCGCCGGAGGGUGGCCACCGCCCCCUCUGGAGAGCGCCCGCCGACGGCCCAAUCUCAAAACUCUUGUACCCAACUGUGAUGCCUAAAUCGACCUUUUGUAUAAUAACAAAAAACAAAA
rnacentral:misc_RNA from 1 species